CAGUCUGCAACUCGACUGCACGAAGCUGGAAUCGCUAGUAAUCGCGAAUCAGAAUGUCGCGGUGAAUACGUUCCCGGGUCUUGUACACACCGCCCGUCACACCAUGGGAGUCAGUAACGCCCGAAGUCAGUGACCCAACCAGAGAUGGAGGGAGCUGCCGAAGGCGGGACCGAUAACUGGGGUGAAGUCGUAACAAGGUAAC
rnacentral:rRNA from 1 species